rnacentral:rRNA from 1 species
CCGUAAACCGACACAGGUAUUUGAGGAGAGAAUCCUAAGGUGCUCGAGAGAUUCAUGGCUAAGGAAUUAGGCAAAAUAGACCCGUAACUUCGGGAGAAGGGUCGCCCUGAGUAAUCAGGGCCGCAGUGAAGAGGUCCAGGCGACUGUUUAUCAAAAACACAGGGCUCUGCAAAAUCGUAAGAUGAAGUAUAGGGCCUGACACCUGCCCGGUGCUGGAAGGUUAAGAGGAGAUGUUAUCUUCGGAGAAGCAUUGAAUUGAAGCCCCAGUAAACGGCGGCCGUAACAAUAACGGUCCUAAG